AUGUGACCACUUUUUCCAUAAAUGGACUAAAAGAAGUGUUAUCACAUAAAUUGAGACAGAAAAAAUAAUUAAUUAGUCGAGGUCGUGGGGUUGACCCCUUUGAUGAUAUCUGUGUGGUUGUAUAUAAAUAUUGUUGUUAUAGUAUUUCUUUACAACAAACAUAUAUUUAUCUUAGUGAUAAUUUGAAGGAGUUUAGAAUCAAGGAUGAGUGAUCCACCAAAGUAUGCACACCCCUACCCUGCUCAAGGUUAUUAUCAAGGUCCUCCAGUGAUGCCUCCACCACCUCAAUAUUAUUAUGCAGCUCCUCCUCCAAGAAGGGAACCUGGCUUUCUUGAGGGAUGUCUGGCAGCUUUGUGUUGCUGUUUCCUGAUUGAUGAGUGUUGCUGUGACCCUUCUAUCCUCUUCAUCUGUUGAUAAAAUAUUUUAUUUCUCUCGGAUAUAUAAUAUUAGUACUAUUGUAUUUGUAUUAUUAGAUAGAUCUCUCGGAAUGUUACUCUUUGUUCAUUGCUUCAAAGUUGAUUGUUUCGGGUUUUUAUUAUAUUUGAGUUUUAAUUU